rnacentral:rRNA from 1 species
GAUGAACGCUAGCUACAGGCUUAACACAUGCAAGUCGAGGGGAAACGAUAUUGGAAGCUUGCUUCCGAUAGGCGUCGACCGGCGCACGGGUGAGUAACGCGUAUCCAACCUGCCCACCACUUGGGGAUAACCUUGCGAAAGUAAGACUAAUACCCAAUGAUAUCUCUAGAAGACAUCUGAAGGAGAUUAAAGAUUCAUCGGUGAUGGAUGGGGAUGCGUCUGAUUAGCUUGUUGGCGGGGUAACGGCCCACCAAGGCGACGAUCAGUAGGGGGUCUGAGAGGAAGGUCCCCCACAUUGGAACUGAGACACGGUCCAAACUCCUACGGGAGGCAGCAGUGAGGAAUAUUGGUCAAUGGGCGAGAGCUUGAACCAGCCAAGUAGCGUGCAGGAUGACGGCCCUAUGGGUUGUAAACUGCUUUUAUAAGGGAAUAAAGUGAGCCUCGUGAGACUUUUUGCAUGUACCUUAUGAAUAAGGACCGGCUAAUUCCGUGCCAGCCGCCGCAGUAA